CGCAGGAAUGAUUAAGAGCAUUCAGAUGCAGAAAUGCAAUGGCACAACAGAAGCUCAGGGGCAGCAGGCAAUGAAAUGCUGUAGCAUGCUCUCCUAUUAGAAGGAAUGUGGUAGUGAUGUAUAAGGUAUGAACGAUGUGGCCUGCAGAGUACCAGAAAGCACUGCCUUAGCUGCUGCUGCUGUUGCUUCUACUGCUGAGAAGGAGAUGCUCUCACUGAACUGAAACUGCUUAGGAUUUUCUCAAUCGGAUUCCCAUUUCCAAGUGCUUCUGUCUGAGGAUCUACUGAUUCUGUUGCUCAUAGACUGACUGAGGGGUUCACCCCUCCAGAAAAAAAUAUAUAAAGAACUGUCCAUAUUAUUUUAGAAACAAAGCAUUUUCUCCCCCUGCAACAAGAGGAUGAGUGGGGAUCUGACGAGGAAGCAACCCUGCCUGAAGAAUAUGCAUAUGUCUGAAAACACUCUGGAUACAGAUGUCAGAGGAUUCGGAUCACUACUGUGUAACUGAUGGUCUUCUGGUUGACCCCAGCUUACAGUUCUAGAAUUUGGAAGAGCUGUGACCAUCAGUAUCAUGACUUAUGGUAGCUGGCAUCACGUGGAGUUUCAGCAGUGACCAAGACAUGGUGACAUCAAAGUGGACAUAGUCUUCAUGACUGGAAAUGGAUUUAAUUUUCCAGAAGUACUAAG